rnacentral:lncRNA from 1 species
ACGUGGUGGGGCAGAUUCGAAACCGAGGCUUGGACAUGAAAUCCUUCCUGCCCUGGGGAUUGUUCCCAUCGCCCAGGUCUUCCCUGGGAGCACUUUUCACGGAGCAGGAGACCAGCACACUAAGCCUGGGCGAGGAGAAAGGGAGGAGGAAAGGGAAGCAUUGGCAAGAUAUAGGGAUUCUGAAGGCAAGCAAGUUCCUCGGAGCAUCGUGUCUCUCCUCUGAGGCCUCAGCCAGGGCUUCCCGGGCAGAUGGGAGCGCUGCCCUGGGAGAGGCACCCCACCCGAAGAGGCGCUGCCAUGCCAGCUUCCCAUACCCAUGCGAGUGGCCCAUGGCCAGCAAGACAUGCUGCCUGUGACUCUUUGGCAAAUCAGGACACCAUAUUCUCUGGGGCUCUACCCCACUCGAGGACCUGCAGGAAUCUAAUUGGAUGCCUGCACAAGAUGAGAUGCCCAGAAGAGCCUCCUGUCUUCCAGGAGGCGGUUUGUUUUGGGACAGAGGCCGUGAUCCAGGCGUGGAUCUUGGAGAGUCGAGGGAAUUGGUUCUGCGUGGCUUGAACAGGACUGAGAGCCUGCUGGGCCCCUGCACGUCCCUGCUCCUCCCCACCUCAGACUGUCUUAUCACAGCUGUCACCCUACUUCCUGUUCCAGCAGCCAUCAGACUGGGCCAGGGGCCUGCCAGGAACCUGGGUACCGUCUCUUCCCUGCCUGCUGCCUUCUCAGCUAACCGGGAUUGGUCCAGCAUCACGCAUGCAACAGCAUCCUCUGUCCCUGCUCUGUGCCCCAGGACAAGUCUCAUGUCCCCCUAGUUGCUGGCAACCUCCAGAGCUCACCUCAAGGGUCGGCCAACUUUUCCUAGAAAGGUCCAGAUAAUAAUUUAGGCUUUGCAAGACGCAUGUGAUCUCCAUCACAUAUUCUUUUUUUCUUUAAAACAACCCUCUAAAAAUGUAAAAACCACUCUUAGCUCGUGGGCCGUAAUUUGCCCCUUGCUUUACAAUUUAGCUGCCCUGUUUCUGAGGCUCUUUUCUUGCCCAAACACUGGUGGCUCCAGUAGAGAGGCAGGUGGCGAGGGUUGUCCCGAUCCCCCAUGAUCCCACCCACCCCUUGCAGGGAGGGCAGCAGCCCUCUGCUUGAUGGUCGUGACUCCCCUAACAUUGCCAGCUUCUCCCUCCACUCUCCAGCCCCUGCCCCUCAUCCUAACCCUCGUGUCCUGCAGAGCUGGAGAGAGUGACGAAUCGGGAAUUUAUGCAGAGGAGCUGUUCUGGUUUUAAGAAGAGAAAAAGGAGUAUCUGAAAAAUGCAUUAACUGGGGAAAAAACAUGUUGUUUUCACUGAGUUUGCCUUCCCCCAGCACAACUAGCUCCCGAGCAGCCAAAUGGAAUUUUACCAACUCUGAAACAGUACCGGUGGGCAGAAAACAAAAGGAGGAUUUGUCCUGAGGGAGGGGACGGAGUUGUUUCCCGAAAGUUAGAUCCCAGCACAAGGGUCAGCCUGGAGUAACUGUGCCCAGGACCAAAGACACAAAGACAGGGAGGGGCACAGCAGCCACUUAGCUCCCUCCGUUCACUGAGACCCCAGAGGUAAUGUCCCAUUUUCCAAGACCCUCGUGCCCUCGCCCCUCACCUCAGAGGCUAUUUCUCGCCUGUUUGUUCCCUGUUUGACAACUGCUCUGAGAAGUUAGAGCAAGCUCUUCCUCUGUAAACCUCGCCUCCCUUCACAGUGGUUGAAGUGGUAGACUUCCUGACCCAGCAUCCUCUCCCUUCCAGAAUAUUCCGUCAGCCCUACUGUCUUCCCUUUGGCCCUUCUUGAGACAAGCUUUCCUGCCUGGCCUGUC